rnacentral:misc_RNA from 1 species
AGCUGAGCUAUCCGGCCAUUCCAGCAUAGUAACCUUUUUUAUUUUAGUCGAUGACUGAGGUCUAUGUCAAUUAAAGGGAAAGGGUGGAUUACAAAUUUUUCGCCAAGUACUUCAAUUUCUUUUCUCUUCAAAAGGACUACUUUCUAUUUCUAAGUUUCAGUAUUCGUAAAGCUAUUGAUUGUGAAUCAUUUAAAUCGGGAUUCUUUGCUCAAAUUGGAUGUCUAUUCUAUAUCACAAACAAUCACAUGGGAAAAGAUCAAGGCAUUUCCGCCCAACUACGUUUGUAAAAGAAUAAGCAACAUAAAGCAAUUUGUAACCGAAAGGGAGAGGGUCGGGAUAAAGGUUUUGGGAGUAAAAUAUGCUUGUUUGGGGAUAGAGGGACUUGAACCCUCACGAUUUUUAAAGCAAGGAUUUCCUUUUACUAUAAAUUUCAUUGUUGCCGGUAUUGACAUGUAGAAGGGGACUCUAUCUUUAUUCUUGUUCAAUCGAUCAGUUCUUUAAAAGCUUUAUCGUACUAUGGAGUGAAUGAUUUGAUGAAUAAAAAUUCGAUUUUUCUUCAAUGUCGAAUGAAUUCACACCAAUUAUUCUAUUUUUAAUAGCAAAAAAUAGAUCUAGAGAUUCGGGCCACCAUUACUCAUUUGAUAUAGUAUUCAAUAGAUAGCUUUGUCCUUGAUACUUUCUGACGUUUUGGUGGAACGAUUCCUCUACCAGUGGCCCCUUUUGUUAGAACAGCUUCCAUUGAGUCUCUGGACCUAUCCUUUUUUUUUAGGUUUCUGAACCUUUCGUUUGAGAAAACAGGAUUUGGCUCAGGAUUGCCCAUUUUUUUGAAUUCCGGGGUUUCCCUGAAUUUGAAAGUUAUCACUUAGUAGGUUUCCAUAC